UCAGAGGAGUGAUUACAGGGUUCAUCAAAUCAUUGAUAUUUCUUCAAAUGUACACAUACUUCUUACAAAUGCCAUUGUAUGUUAAAGCACACAAAGCUUUGUACAUUUUUUCUUGAAGAUCGAAGGCCUCUUUAAAAGAUGCUGCAUCUGUAUUUCUCACAACAAUGUUCAUCUGUAGACGUCAUAAAUUCUAUGAAAUUAAAUCAAUGGAAGUUAAUUUGUUUUAACUCUUUACCAUCACCAUUAGAAGUGUCUGCAUGUUCUCAUCAUUUCAAGGCUUUGGUUCAUACACCAUUAAAAAAUAGUCACACUGACCUUAACAUUUCAUUUAUUUGUAAAAAUGCAACCAAAUUGUCUUUCAAUCGCAUAAAUUCAACACUAUUACUGCUUUAAAAGAUGUGAACAAAACUAGAUUCAUUUAUCCAUGCUGAGUUUUUACCUCCAGCUUGUUUUCAAUUUGUGGUCCUCAUUGCUCCAGAUGUAAGUACUGUGCUAUUAAUAACAAAACAAACAAACAAACAAAAAAACAGACCCACGAAUGUACCAGGUUCCGUUCACUCUUCAGCUUUUUCUUUCAAAAAAACUGUCUGGUGCGACAGAAUCAUUUUUUAUGUCUUGCUAUGCUCUCAGUUAAUGGAAGCUAAAGCCUGUUUUGAUGUCAGUCAAAGGUAAUAUGGUUUAGAUGUUUUGUAGGUCAGUCUAGCUCUGUUCAAGUGUCCUUACUCACUUAAUUUACUUCUUAACUCUGUAUCUCCGAUGACUUUUUGAAAGGUUGUAAGCUAAGUAAGGGCUGCGAAAAAAAUGCAAACACACACACUCACACAUCUUGACUAAUAUACACCUAGGGAGUAAUAGAUUGAAGGAACCAUAAAGCGCUUUACACAUUUAUCUAAAGAGGAUUAGCUGCCCUUGGCAUAAUGUAAUCUCAGAGGAUAAUUAAGAACAUUCAAGUGCUUCUUAAAAAAAGCCUAUAGAAGCUUAAAUUAAAAUAACAAUCAUGUUAUUUUGUUAGUAUUCAAAAGAGAUACAAUCCUAAAAUCUUUCAUGUCUUUUUUAUCAUGAUUUUCCUUCAAAAUGCUGAACAUAUUGAUAUUAUAUUUGGGGAUGAGGCAUCAUUUCGCAGUAGUAUUGCCUUAGUGCAGCCUUAUUUGUGAAAACAAGAGGGUGGGUUUUUUUUCUUAUCAGGUAUGACCAACACACACACACACACACACACACACACACACACACACACACACACACACACACACACACACACACACACACACACACCUCAUCUGCUUUGAAACCAAGGGCAAAUUUUCCAUCGUGCAUUUGAUUGGGAAGUUUGAAUGGGCGGCGCUUAAAGAGGCCAGACACGACCAAUCCCAGCAUACGUGGAUUGACAGCUGUGCCAUAGCAACAGUUUGGCUAGUCGCCAGUCUGUUGGAGUUGCCAGGCAAAAGGUUCCCAUGGCAACAUUCACUUUGCCAUGGUGGUAUACGAGGCUGGCGCCUACCAAAGCAGAUUAGUGUAGAAUCGAGCAGUGCUCUCACCUGGGGAAAAAACACGUGCAUAUAUUUCAGCAGAGAAGAGCUGGCAAACAGAUGUUAGCCUCGUUCAGAUGUUAUAGCAUUACACAUACAGUUAAACUGAACAGGUGUGUUGAAAUCCGCUGCCACUGUACACUUAGCCUGAGGAGGAAUUUCUAUUUUUCUGUUUCCUCUAAAUUGCAUCAUGUUUGUUUUAUCACAUUAAGUAUAAAAGCCUGACAGUGAAAUUGUCUUUUUUUCCCCCUGUAACCAUCAAGUGUCACUGUAUGCAGAUGAUGAUCAAGUGUUUAGAGGAAAGUUGAACUUGAAUUAAGGUGCAGCUUUUAUGAAUCACAGCAGACAGUUUUUUUUUUUUAAUCAAGGAAAAGUCUUGCACAGCAUAGACACCCAGACAGGACUGCUUCAGGGGGGAGUGAGCAAGAGAAAGAGAAAGACAGAGAGAGAGAGAGAGAGAGAGAGAGAGAGCAAGGGGGAGAAAGAAGGAUAGCUGACAUUGGCACAAUUACACUGCAUUUCUGCGUGAUACGACUGUGAAAAUAUUGCAGACGCCGGGCAUUAAGUGAAGAGGAGGUUAUAGGUGUGAGAGAAAAAAGGGCUAGUCUGCUUGUGAGUAUAGAAAGAGGCAGGAGGGGGGUACAAAGACAGAGGGUGGCUGAAAGGGUAAGAGGCGGGAAAUGUGGACCCAUGAGGGCUGGUAGUGGAGAAAAGGUUGGGUGAGUGAAGGAAGAAAAGAGAGGAUAGGAUAGCUGAGGAUAGGAGGGGAGGGGAUGCACUUUGGGACAAUGAAAGAGACUGGUAGCAGCAGGCAGAGGAGGACUGGGACUCGACAUACAAACCAGAGAGGAGUAGAGGAGGAGAAAAGAGGAAACAAAUUCACCUGGCAACAUUUUCAUGUGUCCUGAUUGGCUAAUGUGUUUCACAGUCCGCCUUCUGGGUUCUUCUUCUGUGUCUUCAAUGUAACAGUAAUGUGUGGUGUAUGAUAUUGACACAUGUUUUGUAUUGGAGAUGUUCCUUUUUGGUAGACAGGUCCUUUAAUGCCAACAUGUCAAAUAAGGCUCUUGUGCAGGAAGUGAAAAAAGAAAAUCAGGUUUGGACGAUACUUGUUUGAAAUCAUCCUUAUGUUAGACACAUUUGCACAUUUAUUUCUAUCUUGUUUAUGCUCUGCUAACACUCUUGACUCACUUUCACAAAGCAGAUCAUCUUACCCUUGUUAAGUCUAUCUGUGUCCGUGUCGGGAACCGUAACUCUCCCAGUCCAUAACUCUCAGUAUGCAUCGUGCCAGCUGAUGUAGAGCCGCACGCAACAAUUGCGACUUCAACGGAGAGAAUCUGCACACAAAACAAGUUUAAGUGUAAUAUCUUUCAGUCAGUGUGACAAGCGGGAAGCUCCAAUUGUCUUCAUUGUGCAGCAGAAGUCACACAGAUUUAGAUGUCAGCCCUGACAGCUGACUUAAUGGUGAUGACAGUGUUAUGGCAGUUGGUAUUAAACUCCCAUGAAAACCUGUCAGCUUUAAAGUGAAAUCAGACAGUUGAUUUGGAUAAAACACUUCAAAAUGUGUGAGUGCGUGAAGGCAAAACCAAACAAAAAAAAGGGCUUAGUUAUGAGAGGGAGAUAAGAGCUGGUGACUAUCUAAUGCUUAAGAGGGGAGCAGAAGUUAGAAAAAGUGUCAGCUUUCAAGGGAGAAAAGGUCGCUCACCUACACUGUCUUGUUUGCCAAGCCUUGACUGUUCAUAUACAGCAUUUUGCAGGCUGCAUCCUUGCUCUGUUGGAGUCUGUUGACAUUAGAAGGCAGACAGAGGGAGUUCACACAGUCGCCAGUAGAGGGCAACAACUCCUCAGAGAUGGGGGGAAAUACUAUGAAUGGACGCAGAGCAUGAAGUCUUUGUAGUAGUCACACCUGUAUGAGAGGCUUAGCUGUGUGGAAACAGAUUUUCAUACUGCUGUUCCAGUGUUUGUCCGAAACACAUCUGUUGUGUCAUAUUUUGAUUCAUGCUGACUUAUUAUUUUCACAGCUCUUUCAUUCUUUGAGCUGGUUCAUCUUUGUCCUUCAUGGAAAACUGCAUAUGUGCAGUUCGACUCUUGUCAUGUGCAUACACCAUUCCUGCUCUUGAUAAGUUAACUGCAGGCUUUGGUGCAGGCCUUAGGCUUGAGUAACCUCCUCUGCAUCAAUUCUAGUGGCGAAACAGCCGGUGUAGUCCCCUUCAGUCUGUAGUUGACUCUGAGACUAUAUUUUUUACAGCAGUUGCUGCAGUCCAGCACUUUUUGCAAAUUUGCCGCACUAUUUUUACAUCGCAGCUCCUCAGGCAAAAUUACAACAUAAUUCCCCCUCAGCUGUCCCACCACUUGCUCUAAAAUGUCCAAUUUAUUUAUCUUAAAUCAGAGCUAAAUAAAAAAAAUGGGAUUCAGUAACACAAAAAACAUGAUUAAAAACAAAAUUAGAUGAAUAAAUCCUGCAGGUCUGCAUAUGUGAGUCUGUAAAAUGGCUUACUGAUUUAGUAAGGACAACAUUAUGUGCUUAUAUUGUUGUUGUCAUGUGUACUUUAAAGGCCUACCGAGAAUCAGGAUUCACAGAGUAGCUAAGACUAUAAAUAUCAUAAUGUUUAGAUCUGGUUUCAAUCUUAUGGACUUGUCCCUGGACAAAUAAACAAAGUAAACAUAAUAAAAUACAGCCGAGAAAACAGGCCUGUUAGAAAUGGUUGGCUCAAUUUCCAAAACGAGACAUAUAUGUAGGGAGUGUUGAACACCUCUGCCCUGUUGGUGAAGACCUCGACCGGAGAGCAGCACUAUGGUCUGUGCUCUGCAGUAUGAGGUAGUUGGUUGUAUGGUUUCGCAUAAUAAACAGCACGGAGAUAACUGUACAACCUUCUAGCUUUCACUGCGGAGUCACCUUUUGCUUCCACUGAUGUGCCCCCAGCUGAGAGGUAAGUGUGUAGUUACUCCACCUGACAGUGUCCUUGAUGCUAAAUGACAUGACUUCUGACACACCACAGAGACCUCUAAACGCUCUACCCUCGCAGCAAAUGUAAAAACUCCCCUAUGAGCCUCUGUGAGGUCAGACAAGGGACUUAAGUGUUUGAUCAAUUUUUCUACUUUUAUUUGUAUUUUUUUAAGAGUUUUUGAACAGAGAAAAUAAACAUCCAGAGUAGCUCAUGAUUAUUAUGAUAUUAACCAAAUUCUUCAUGGAAAACUAAUGGGGGAAAAUGCUAUCAGUCAGUUAAGGAAAGGCAAGACAAGGAACCCACUGAGCAUUUUUUGGUCUAAAAGAGGUCUGUCAAAAUGUAGCCUAGACAACUGGUCUAAAAUCAGGCUACCACAGGUCUAAAAACGAAAGGUGUUUAGUCGUCUAAAUUUAGACCAAGUUUAGACCAAGUCUAAAUCUGGGCUAUAUCUAUACUCCACUGUAUAUUGCUUAUCAUAACUAUCAUAUCAUAAUUAUUUUGGUUAAGUACUUGAAGAUCAGGUAUGCAACUCACAGUUGCUUUUUGAAAUAAAUAGUUAUCGAAUAAUGGGUUAGAGUGCGACAUCUAAAUUCUGUCUAAAAAUAUACAGAAUCUAGACGGUUAAAAUUAGGUCUAAAAAAAAGCUAGACGUCUAAUAGCCGUCUAUUGCUCAGUGGAAACAAGCAACACAUAACUUUAUAAACUUUACUCAGAAACACAACAUAAGGACUUACAUGUCAUUGUCCAGUUCUAACAAUGUUUAAAAUAAGUUUAAUAAGUUUCUAACUUCUUGUGUUAUUCUGUGUUUUACAUUGUCUACACUUGUCUGUCUGUUAAUAGAUAUCCUGAACUGGCAACCAAACUCUCUUGUUUUAGAGCAGGUAGAGAACCAAGCGUUCAACUUUCAUCUUCUCUGACAUGAUUUAUGGCCACACACUGUGGUAAAGGCUCGCUAGCUACUCUACAUCUUCAUUGUUUUCCCUCCAUUUUUCACCACCACCUGCUACUUUGAACCC
rnacentral:lncRNA from 1 species